ensembl:lncRNA
AUGUCCAAAAAGAAGAAAAAUAAAAUCGGCGAAAAACAUACAGUAAGCAAUAAAACACCCAAGAAAGAGGGCCACGUGACUCCCGCCGUUCAAACCAAGCCUGCGGACAAAGAAAAGGAUUUAUUUUUGCCUCAAAUCCGAUUUCUGACCGAUACCCUGGAGAGAUUUCAGCUGAAAUAUGAUCGACUGGAGAAGGAUGAGAACUGCAUCAUUGAGCAUCUGAAGCGCUCCCUGCUGGAGGAGAAGGAGCCGGUGGAGGCGCUGUCGGAGGGGGUGGAGCUUCAGCAGGAGGCUGCAGGUUGCGACAGAGACGUUCUGCAGCAGCAGCUGCUGCUGCAGAGAAACUCCUCCUCUGCAUCAGAGGAAGCUGAUGUAACUGAAAGGAGAAGCAAACCGUCUACUGAAUCUGCCAUGAGAACAGCUGAGCUUCUGUUAGGAGCCAUCACCUCCUGAGGGACCCUGAGGGCCUCACAACAGUCUCCUGUUAGAGGAGGUUCUGGUCCAAAUCUGUCAGAAGAGGCAGGGCAGAGUAUCCAGACUAAAGUACCACAGCAGAGAUCAGGUGUGUUUGAGCCAUCUACUACUUUCUAAAAAUCAACUCCAUCUGUCCAUCCAUCCCCAGACCUCACGAACCCCCGUCGGGGUCACAGGGUUGCUGGAGCCCAUCCCAGCUACUGUGUUGGGUGAAGGCGGGGUCCGGCCUGAGCAGAUGUCCAGACUGUUGCAGGGACACACACUCAUAUGCACACCUGGAGACCACGGAGAGCCACCAGUGAACCUCUGAAGAACGUUUUGAGACUGACGGAGGAAACUGAGGCAUGCACAAACCCAGCUGGGAUUCAAACCAGGUCCUUCCAGCUGUGAGGCUGGGGCUGCAACCACUAUACCACCAUGCACAACUAAAAGUCUACUAUUUUGAUGUUUUACUACUUCACAAUAAAAUAAUUGUAAUAACUUCGUUCACUCUCGGUUUGAUCCAGCAGUUUGACGUAAACGGCGGCCCAGAACCCAGGGUCAGUCCAGGUGAGACGCUGAAGGUCAGAGCCCGGUUUGCAGAUUUGGUUCCUUGUCUGGGUUUCAAACCUCUUCAUGUUUUAAGGCCUCACUAUCUUUGAGAUGUCCCACUACUGGCCGUGCUCGAGGGCUCCUGGCAGUGUUUUUGAACCUCCAUCUGUGACAGUUUGGCCUCCAUGUCAAGUGAAGCAGAAAGGUUCUGGUCUCUUUCUGCCUGACCUUGAGGAACGUUUCUGGGACGUCCUCUUCUGGGAAAAUCUCAGUUUUUCUCUGAUAAUUCGUGUGAAAAAUGUCCACGAAAUUGUUACAAAUGUUUUAUCGUCUUAUCAAGACUAAGAGCAACAUUUGCUAUCAGAGAAAACGCUCCUGCCUUUAAUGAGCCUGAACUCGUGUUGGAACUGUGAGCUGCGCAGCCGCAGCCGUCAGCUGAGCGUGGACAUCCAGCUGCAUCCAGAAGAAGGUGAGAAGAACACCUGCAGGAGAUAUUUGGGAAUUCUGCUCGGCUCGGUUCUGUUCAUCUGGGUCUCCUUCAGGCGGCUGAUCAGUUGGCAGAGAAGUGUCAGCAGCGGGGGGCGGAGCAGAAAGACCACGAGCAGCGAAUCAACGGGUCCUAACGGACCUGCAGGUUCAGAGGUCAGAGUCUGCUUCUGCCAAAACAACCGGACUGGUACCAAAAAGUAUUUACACCCAGGGUUGCUGGAGCCUAUCCCAAUGGCUGUUGGCAUAAAGAGAAAACAUAAAAAUAAACGUUUGAAAUCACUUUGUGCGUCAUGAACAGGUGGAUCCAUCCCUGACCGCCCAGGAGGCGGCGCCGGAACGCCUGGCGCAGAGCCGAUCAAUAAGUCAUUCAUUUCAGACAGGAGCGGGUCUGCCUGUCUGACCAGAACCAGAAACUCCGAGCCCAGAUGGGCCACCUGGAGGCGGAGCUGAGGGAGGAAAGGAGGCGGCGGCAGAGGAGGAGCGGCGUGCAGGAAGCGGCCACUGGUCUCAAACCCACUCUGAAGGUUGACUCAGCAGAAAACUGCUGCUGGUUCUGUCCCUGCAGGAUCUGGACUCAGAGGUCCAACAGACGCUGCUCUCACAGACCCACGUUCCUCUUUUACAGGAUGGGAACCAAACCUACAGAUUCCAGAUACCCCCCCUCAACCAAACAAACCCCAACGUCCCGACUGGAACCAGCGGCACCUCGCCACUCCUCCACAGGUCCGUUUGGAGGUUUUAAGAGCUGGUCUCAGGGUGAAAACCAGACUAAACUGCAGGUUCUGAUCCAGUUUCUUCUCACCAAGUUCCUGCAGGAGAGCAGUCAUGCAGCCAG